rnacentral:rRNA from 1 species
UAGGGAAUCUUCCACAAUGGGCGCAAGCCUGAUGGAGCAACACCGCGUGAGUGAAGAAGGGUUUCGGCUCGUAAAGCUCUGUUGUUAAAGAAGAACACGUAUGAGAGUAACUGUUCAUACGUUGACGGUAUUUAACCAGAAAGUCACGGCUAACUACGUGCCAGCAGCCGCGGUAAUACGUAGGUGGCAAGCGUUAUCCGGAUUUAUUGGGCGUAAAGAGAGUGCAGGCGGUUUUCUAAGUCUGAUGUGAAAGCCUUCGGCUUAACCGGAGAAGUGCAUCGGAAACUGGAUAACUUGAGUGCAGAAGAGGGUAGUGGAACUCCAUGUGUAGCGGUGGAAUGGGUAGAUAUAUGGAAGAACCACCAGUGGCGAAGGCGGCUACCUGGUCUGCAACUGACGCUGAGACUCGAAAGCAUGGGUAGCGAACAGGAUUAGAUACCCUGGUAGUCCAUGCCGUAAACGAUGAGUGCUAGGUGUUGGAGGGUUUCCGCCCUUCAGUGCCGGAGCUAACGCAUUAAGCACUCCGCCUGGGGAGUACGACCGCAAGGUUG